rnacentral:misc_RNA from 1 species
GAUGAAGAACGUAGUGAAAUGCGAUAAGUAAUGUGAAUUGCAGAAUUCAGUGAAUCAUCGAAUCUUUGAACGCACCUUGCGCCCUUUGGCCAUUCCGAAGGGUAUGCCUGUUUGAGUAUCAUGAACACCUCAACUCUCAUGGCUCGCCAUGAUGAGCUUGGACUUUGGGGGUCUUGCUGGCCUGUGGUCGGCUCCUCUCAAAUGGAUCAGCUUGCCAGUGUUUGGUGGCAUCACAGGUGUGAUAACUAUCUGCGCUUGUGGUUUUCCAUCAGAUAACCUUCAGUGAUGGAGGUUCGCUGGAGCUCAUAAACGUCUCCCCUAAGCGGGGACAGCCCUUUGAAUGUUUGAUCUCAAAUCAGGUAGGACUACCCGCUGAACUUAAGCAUAUCAAUAAGCGGAGGA